ACCAACCAGGCCCACAUCCAUCUCUCUGACUCUCUUCUUCUCCGUCCGUCUCUUCCAAAUCUUAGGAGCGGAGAACUCAACCAGGCAAGGCACACAUCCAUCUCUUCCAAUCUCUUCUUCUCAGCCGCGCGCAUGACUUUCCUGUCGCCGUCUCCCCUAAAAUCCCCCUCGGCUUGACUCGUCCACCUCCUUUUUCCUCUUUUCCCCUAGUGCCCGCCUAUAUAAUCAAUAUAUGGUGACAUAUAUGUAUACCUUGAAUUCAUUUUUCUAUAUAUAUGAUGGUAUAUUUAGAUCAAUACAUGUGAUUACUUUGAGAUAUUUUUUUAACAUGGCUGAACUUCAAUUUUUUUAAUAAUCACAAAUGUGGUAAUCUAGGACCAAAAUUUUAAAAAUAAUUUAGUAUUCUUUUUAGAAUGGUAUAAGUGGAUAAUCUAGAUUAAGAUUUAGGGUGUACCAUUACGUUAUUUUUGAAAAAAUGGUAAAAUUAAGCGAGUUAGAUACAAUUUAAGGUUGCAUUAUUAUAUUUUCCUCGUGUUUCAGUCACUGGCUGCAGCCAAAAAUAGCUGCUCGGAACAAGUUCUGCUAAGCCGUUAAUUUGAACAAGUCCUCAUCACUCUCGCCCUCCUUCACUCCCUGACGAAGCAAUGGUGGCGGGGGUUGGUGCGGCUGAUGACCUACAGCUAUGGCUGCGCACGGAUGCGAGGACCGGUUGCUACAGAAGCGCGGACUGUCCGCGCAGUUGGCGCACGGAGGCAACAGGCAAAGGAAAGGAUCGACGACUGCUGCUGCGGAUGGAGGCGUGGACGUGUACUGGCGGCGGCCUCAGCUUUCGCGUCCCUAGUGGCGCUCCAAGACUGGAACAUUGCGCACAUCCGCACUGUGCGGCAUUUUUUCUUAGGAAAAAGCUUUAUUCUCUCCUCUUUUACUCAUGGCUGGCUGACAGCCCAACAGAUGACGCACAUGCAUUCUUAUCUUAUGCCUAUGAAUUUGGUUCAUUUCCUUUUA